UGGGGAAUAUUGGACAAUGGGCGCAAGCCUGAUCCAGCAAUGCCGCGUGUGUGAAGAAGGCCUUCGGGUUGUAAAGCACUUUUAUCAGGAGCGAAACUACUGUCGGCUAAUACCCGGCGGAACUGACGGUACCUGAGGAAUAAGCACCGGCUAACUUCGUGCCAGCAGCCGCGGUAAUACGAAGGGUGCAAGCGUUAAUCGGAAUUACUGGGCGUAAAGCGUGCGUAGGCGGUUUGUUAAGUCUGUUGUGAAAUCCCCGGGCUCAACCUGGGAAUGGCAAUGGAUACUGGCAGGCUAGAGUGUGUCAGAGGAUGGUGGAAUUCCCGGUGUAGCGGUGAAAUGCGUAGAGAUCGGGAGGAACAUCAGUGGCGAAGGCGGCCAUCUGGGACAACACUGACGCUGAGGCACGAAAGCGUGGGGAGCAAAC
rnacentral:rRNA from 1 species